CCUGGUGGCGAUAGCGAAGGGGCCACACCUGUUCCCAUUCCGAACACAGCAGUUAAGCCCUUCAGCGGCGAUGGUACUGCCACAUCUCGUGGUGGGAGAGUAGCUCGUUGCCAGGA
rnacentral:rRNA from 2 species